AAGAAAAAGCCUUUUAUUAUUAAUAAACAAUUCGAUACAAGUACCAAAAGUAUUGGUCUCUAGGGCUUACACCAACAAUCUCCCACUAGCACUAGAGCCAAUCAGGCAUACCCCUAAUGCCCAUAGAUCUAGUAUGGCCAUCAUGCUUCUGUUGCGCAAGAGGCUUUGUCAGUGGGUCAGCAAUAUUGUUAAGUGUAGGUACUCUGCAUAU
rnacentral:lncRNA from 1 species